UUUCUUUUUCUGAAACACAGCAUGGAGAAAAAUGGGAGGGACAUCCAUUAGGCACAGUUCAGGAUUUCCUGCACAAUUACAUUCUUCACAGCUUAUUGUGUUGUGCACAUGCGGGUAAAACACCAAGUUUUGUUGGCAGGAUGUUCUGAAGCCUGCUGUGACAAUCUGGGCUCCAAUGUCCAGACAAUAUAUUUGAAAGGUAUUGAGAAGCGCUUAACUCUGUGCAACCCAGAGACAUCUCUCAGCUUCUGCUCAUCACCUCCACCCACUCCAGCGAAAUCAGACACCAGGCAACUAGCAAUGCUAAGCUUCAGUGAUGCCACGUUAGGAGUUCUCCUGAGGCUAUCCAGGAGAGAAGCAAGCUCUUUUCCUUGAAGAUCGUAAAAAGAGGUCAUCCCAGAUCCUGGACAGAUGUGGGUCCAUACCAUCAAUGUCUGUGGACAGCUCGAGAGAACCUGACUCCAGUGUUGCAAAAGGAUGAAUGAUUUGCUGUGUUCUGGUAAGGUUCUUCAUACAAAGCUGAAAGCUACUUUUGUAUUGAUGUUAUUCAACAUAUUCAAACUUGAACUGAGCGGUUGAAAAAGGUGGCCACCUGAUGAUCCAACAGGUUUGGGGAUUUUAGGAAUUGGAACCUCUCCCCUAUCUCAACAAAGUAACAAAAGGAAUCUUUCGACUGAAGUAUCAAUGCCCAAGCAUGAAAGUAAUUCAGUGGUGUCAGAUUCUCAAGACAAAAUCCUCAACUACAGUGGAAUUACAGUGGACCUUAAUGAUCCAUAUUAUUUGGGAAAGGACUUGUAACAGGUGAUGAGACAGCCAUUCUCUCUACUUGCUGUUAAAAACACAAGAAGCUGUCUUCAACAGAGAGUGCCAUCAGAAGCCCAUUGAAACGGCUGUAAGUUAUCUAAGCAGCCAAGGUAAUAAAUAGCAAUGGUUUGAAAGAGGAAGAAGGAUUUCUUCCUGUUCAAGUUUACCUAAGGAGAAAGAAAAUGAAUUUAAAAGUAGAACUAGGAAAUAAACAUGCUGGUCAUACUGGAUUUCUGUUUUCAGGUAUGCAAGGUAAGUCAGACCAGUUUCCAUCAUUUCCAAGUUUUAGUCCUGGAAAUUUGACUACUGUACAAGAAGCCUUGCAACUUACCAAGAUGUCCACAACAAAAGCAUUAACUCAUCUAAGCCAUUUCAGAAGACACUGAAGAAGUACUAAAUUAUAAUUUUUGUUUAACCUUCACCUGUAUCCGUAUUCGUAUAUGUGAGAUAAUUAAGUGAAUCAUUACAUUUUAAAUAUCUAUGGCAAUUUGUGCAACAACAAAUAACCUCUUUAAUUUUAAAACUCUCAGCUUACUGUUUGAAUUAUUGAAUUAGGACAAUCAUUUUGAGUGU